rnacentral:rRNA from 1 species
AUUGAACGCUGGCGGCAUGCCUUACACAAGCAAGUCGAACGGUAACAGGUCUUCGGAUGCUGACGAGUGGCGAACGGGUGAGUAAUACAUCGGAACGUGCCCGAUCGUGGGGGAUAACGAAGCGAAAGCUUUGCUAAUACCGCAUAAGAUCUACGGAUGAAAGCAGGGGACCGCAAGGCCUUGCGCGAACGGAGCGGCCGAUGGCAGAUUAGGUAGUUGGUGGGAUAAAAGCUUACCAAGCCGACGAUCUGUAGCUGGUCUGAGAGGACGACCAGCCACACUGGGACUGAGACACGGCCCAGACUCCUACGGGAGGCAGCAGUGGGGAAUUUUGGACAAUGGGCGAAAGCCUGAUCCAGCCAUGCCGCGUGCAGGAUGAAGGCCUUCGGGUUGUAAACUGCUUUUGUACGGAACGAAAAGACUCUGGUUAAUACCUGGGGUCCAUGACGGUACCGUAAGAAUAAGCACCGGCUAACUACGUGCCAGCCGCCGCUGUAAUAC